CUUGGUCAUUUAGAGGAAGUAAAAGUCGUAACAAGGUUUCCGUAGGUGAACCUGCGGAAGGAUCAUUAUCGUACAAAAUGUGUGAGGCAUGCAAGGGCUGUCGCUGACUUUUUAAUCACAAAAAGUCGUGCACGCCGGAGCGUGUCCUCUCGCAUAAAAUCCAUCUCACCCUUUUGUGCACCACCGCGUGGGCACCCUUUGGGAUCGAACCGAUCCAGGAGGGCGCUUGCGUUUUCACACAAACCCCCUUAUAAAAGUGUAGAAUGACCCCAUUUUUGCGAUAACACGCAAUCAAUACAACUUUCAACAACGGAUCUCUUGGCUCUCGCAUCGAUGAAGAACGCAGCGAAAUGCGAUACGUAAUGUGAAUUGCAGAAUUCAGUGAAUCAUCGAAUCUUUGAACGCACCUUGCGCCCCUUGGUAUUCCGAGGGGCACACCCGUUUGAGUGUCGUGAAAAUCUCAACCUCCUCGGUUUCUUCUGGACGCCGAAGGAGGCUUGGACUUUGGAGGCCUUUGCUGGCGUCUCUCGCCAGCUCCUCUCAAAUGAAUUAGCGGGGUCCUCUUUGCCGAUCCUCGACGUGUGAUAAGAUGUUUCCAUGUCUUGGUUUCUGGCUCUGUCGCCUUUGGGACCCGCUUCUAACCGUCUCAAGUCGAGACAACGUUUGAGCGUGUCUCCCUUCUCGGGAAACACCCUCGAGCCCACGAACCCUUGACCUCAAAUCGGGUGAGACUACCCGCUGAACUUAAGCAUAUCAAUAAGCGGAGGA
rnacentral:rRNA from 1 species